rnacentral:rRNA from 1 species
UAGAGGUCCGCCUGCCUGUGACCAUGUGUUUAACGGCCGCGGUAUUUUGACCGUGCAAAGGUAGCGUAAUCACUUGUCUUUUAAAUGGAGACCUGUAUGAAUGGCAUAACGAGGGCUUAACUGUCUCCUUUUUCCAGUCAAUGAAAUUGAUCUCCCCGUGCAGAAGCGGGGAUGAUUUCAUAAGACGAGAAGACCCUGUGGAGCUUUAGACACCAAAACAGAUCAUGUUAAGCACCUCCCCCUAAAGAACAAAACCAAUUGAACCCUGCCCUAAUGUCUUUGGUUGGGGCGACCUCGGGGAAACACCAAACCCCCGUGCAGAACAGGAGAACAUCUCCCAAAACCAAGAGCUACCGCUCUAAUUAACAGAAUCUCUGACUAUUUAGAUCCGGCCACGCCGAUCAACGGACCAAGUUACCCCAGGGAUAACAGCGCAAUCCUCUUUUAGAGCCCAUAUCGACAAGGGGGUUUACGACCUCGAUGUUGGAUCAGGACAUCCUAAUGGUGCAGCCGCUAUUAAGGGUUCGUUUGUUCAACGAUUAAAGUCCUACGUGAUCUG